AUGGCCGGUGGCGUCGACCGUCUAUCUGAUCUCCCCGACGAGCUCCUCCUGCGCGUUCUCCGCUUCGUCCCAGCCAAGAAGGCCGCCGCCACGGCCGCGCUCUCGCGGCGAUGGCGCUCGCCGCUCUGGCGCUCCUCCGGCGCCGUGAACCUCGAGACGUUCGUCGAGGGCUACGAGUACGACGAUGACUACAGCUCCCGGUACGUGCGAUACGAGCGCAAAGAAGCUGCAAAGGCCCUCUUCUUCUCCCGCCGCGACGCCUUCGUGUCCGCGGCCGUGGCGGCGCUCGACGCCGCCGACGUCCCCGUCACGAGGCUCACCCUGCGUCUCAAGUACAGCUACCUGGACUCUAUCUGGAUGUUCCUAGACCUGGACCCUGACAGGUACCGCGGGUUGCCGUCGCCGGACGGCCACGUGCUCGCCAGCCUGCUCUCCCACCAGGCGGCGCGCCGCGUGGAGGAGCUCCGCCUCGUCGACGUCGAAUACGAUGGCAGCCGCGGCCACACCCACGACCGCCAGGAAGGCGAGGUAGAUGUCACUCUCUCCGUUGGUGCUUUGGUGGGCGUCUUCGUGCUCAGCCUCGGCGCCCUGCCGUCCGAGAACCUCCGCCUGCUGGACCUCGCCAACUGCUGCGAACUCGUCCCGCCGCCGCCGGCCGCUGCCGUCGUGUUCCCGCGGCUCUCGUCGCUAAGGAUGCGCCGUUGUACCACGCGGCUCGACACGCUCCAAAGCCUCGUCGACGCCGCGCCGGCGCUCGCCACCGUCCGCCUGGAGUCCGUCGUCGUCGCCCAACAUGACCACCGAUGCCGGCCACUAAAAAAGCCCUGCUCCGCUUCCCAGCGGCCACCGUGCUCGUCCUGGAGAGGUAAGGCCGCAAUCGCCGCCGUCCCCGUGGAGAUCGACGCGCCGAGGCUGCGGCGCUUCAGGUACAAGGGGCUCCUCCGGCCAUUCUCCCUGAGCCCGCGGCCGCCGGACUUGGCACAUGCCGACCUGCAUUUCGUCCCGCGCGGCCGCGAUGAACGAGGGAACAAAAUCGAAAUUCUAGCCGGCAACAUAAUUUUCCAUGGCCGUGGCAACAAAACCGGCUCGCGCGACCUCGAGCCCUUGUGGCGAUUCCUUGGCAACUUCACCGGCGCCAAGGAGCUGAAGCUAAGCAUAAACCCCCCCGAGGACAUGGCCGUGCUCACCGAGGCGAGGCGGGCCGAGCUCCUGCCGGCGUUCUCCAUCCUCGAGCGCCUCGAGCUGAACGGAGUGCACCGGCCGAAAGGCAAGACGGCGGCGGUGGCCAUCGCCAACCUGCUCCGCUGCUGCCCCGCGCUCCGUGACCUCCGGAUCAACCUCACCGCGGAGCACCACUACCCAAACUAUCUGCACGACCAAGACCUCUUCCUGGAAAGCAAGUUCCGAGCCGACGGGGAAAAGUGCAUCCACCGGCUCGUCUUGCAAGUGCUCGUCUGCGCGGAUGCUUUGCCUUCGCCAGUGAUUCGAGUACCGUCGACUACCGACGUUUAA
rnacentral:rRNA from 1 species